rnacentral:rRNA from 1 species
GAAUUCGAUUAACGCGAAGAACCUUACCUGGGCUUGACAUGACCCUGACAGCCGUGGAAACACGGUCUCCCUUCGGGGCAGGGCCACAGGUGGUGCAUGGCUGUCGUCAGCUCGUGUCGUGAGAUGUUGGGUUAAGUCCCGCAACGAGCGCAACCCCCGUCGCAUGUUGCCAGCAUUUAGUUGGGGACUCAUGCGAGACUGCCGGUGACAAACCGGAGGAAGGCGGGGAUGACGUCAAGUCAUCAUGCCCCUUAUGUCCAGGGCUACACACGUGCUACAUUGGCGCGUACAGAGGGCUGCGAUACCGCGAGGUGGAGCGAAUCCCUUAAAGCGCGUCUCGGUUCGGAUUGCAGGCUGAAACUCGCCUGCAUGAAGCCGGAAUCGCUAGUAAUCGUGGAUCAGCUACGCCACGGUGAAUACGUUCCCGGGCCUUGUCACACCGAAUCACUA